rnacentral:rRNA from 1 species
UACGUAGGUGGCAAGCGUUGUCCGGAUUUACUGGGCGUAAAGGGCGUGCAGGCGGUUUGUUAAGUGCAGGGUGAAAGCUCCCGGCUCAACUGGGAGAGGUCCUUGCAUACUGGCAAACUCGAGGGAGGCAGAGGAAAGUGGAAUUCCCGGUGUAGUGGUGGAUAUGCGUAGAUAUCGGGAGGAACACCUGUGGCGGAAGG